CCUACGGGAGGCAGCAGUGAGGAAUUUUGGGCAAUGGGCGAAAGCCUGACCCAGCGACACCGCGUGGGGGAUUGAAGGCCUUCGGGUCGUAAACCCCUGUCAGGGGGAACGAAGCCCCGAUGUUUUCCACCGGGGUGACGGUACCUCCAGAGGAAGCCUCGGCUAACUACGUGCCAGCAGCCGCGGUAAGACGUAGGAGGCAAGCGUUGUCCGGAAUUAUUGGGCGUAAAGCGCCCGUAGGCGGGGGUGAAAGCCGGGGGUAAACUCCCCCGACCCAACCGGGGACCCGCGCCCGAUACUCCACCCCUGGAGGGAAGCAGAGGAAGGAGGAAUCCCGGGUGUAGCGGUAAAAUGCGUAGAUACCGGGAGGAACACCGUGGGCGAAGGCGGCCUUCUGGGCUUCUCCUAACGCUGAGGGGCGAAAGCCGGGGGAGCGAACCGGAUUAGAUACCCUGGUAGU
rnacentral:rRNA from 1 species